rnacentral:lncRNA from 1 species
UCCAACACAUUGCCACCUAACCGCAAUAACAUCCUGUAAAUCCAUGAUUGGUUCAGCGGGUUGAUCCACAUAUGUUUCCACUAAACAAUUACAUACAAAUUACCUGCAACAAUAGGACGGGAUUUUAUGCACGAAUCAACUCAAAUCGUUUUCAUUUCAAAACCCCACACUUAUACAACAACAAGCCAAUAACAGAUGCAGUGAAAAAGAGAGAGCAUAAUACAAUGCAUAGCAAAGCCGUGAGAACCAUGCUACCAAAUGCGCCACCAACAUAAGAUGCAUAAUGAUCAUUACCUACAAUGCACCCAUGAAACUAUAAGGAUUAUAGUAACUAAGUACAAGAGUGUUAUGAAAACUCUAAAGCCAUGUACAUGUUCAAUACAACAAUAUGUUGGUUUAAACUACACAAUCAUCCAAACCUUGCCAACAUGUGCAUACCACAACGUAACCCUGCUGUAGAAUCAGGACACAAGCGCUGCAACCACUAACCAAAAUACAUCAUGAUCGUAACAAGACCC